rnacentral:rRNA from 1 species
CCUACGGGUGGCAGCAGUGAGGAAUCUUGCUCAAUGGGCGCGAGCCUGAACCAGCCAAGCAGCGUGAAGGAUGACUGCCCUACGGGUUGUAAACUUCUUUUUUAAAGGAAUAAAGUGAGGCACGUGUGCCUUCUCGUUUGUACUUUAUCAAUAAGGAUCGGCUAACUCCGCUCCAGCAGCCGCGGUAAUACGGAGGAUCCGAGCGUUAUCCGGAUUUAUUGGGUUUAAAGGGAGCGUAGAUGGGUUGUUAAGUCAGUUGUGAAAGUUUGCGGCUCAACCGUAAAAUUGCAAUGGAUACUGGCAGACUUGAGUACAGAAGAGGUAAGGGGAAUUCGUGGUGUAGCGGUGAAAUGCUUAGAUAUAACGAAGAACACCGAUUGCGAAGGCAGCCCACUGAACUGCCACUGACGUUGAUGUUCGAAAGUGUGGGUAGCAAACAGGAUUAGAUACCCCAGUAGUC